rnacentral:lncRNA from 1 species
AAGGGAGCUGUCAUCUCCAUCUGACGUAUGAGGAAAUGGAGGCCCAGCAAGGCGGAGCCACUGCUCUCAAAUCAUGUUGCCUCUGAGUUGUGAAACUGGGGUUUGAAUCCACUGUGACAUGGCCGAGCUUCUACUCUUCUCCAGCACCAGGCUACAAAGAAGUGAAGCCAAGGAGGACUCUCCUUCUGCAGGCCAUCGAGGGACAUGGGACAAGGGGGAGAGCGCUGAGCGGGACUGUUAAACACCCCACAGAGCGCAAGACAGCCCCCACGCAAAGGAUCAACUCAGCUCACGUGUCAGCAGUACCGAAGGGCAGUACCGAGUCCGCGAGGUUGCAGCCGUACAACAGACCCUCAUCACCCCCCCCAAAGGGGGGACAUGGUGGCCCAUGGAUUUUGAAGUUAGAUGCCAGUGGCUUAAAGUCUCUUCCUGUCUCCUGCUUGUCAAAUGAUACUGGGUAA